rnacentral:rRNA from 1 species
GUCUUUUUGAAAUAAUUUAAAGUCUAAUCUGCCCACUGAUAAAAAAUUAAAGGGCUGCAGUAUAAUGACUGUACAAAGGUAGCAUAAUCAAUAGUUUUUUAAUUGAAAACUUGUAUGAAAGAUUUGAUGAAAUAUGGACUGUCUCUAAUUUAUAAAUUGAAUUUUAUUUUUUAGUAAAAAAGCUAAAAUAAAUUUAAAAGACGAGAAGACCCUAUAGAGUUUUAUAUUUAAUUUUAUUUUAAAAUUAUAUAAAAAUUAAUAUUAAAAAUAAAAUUAAAUAUUAUAUUGGGGUGAUAGAAAAAUUAAAUUAACUUUUUUUAAAAAUUAAACAUAAAUAAAUGAUUGUAUGAUCCAUAAAUAAUGAUUAUAAGAAAAAAUUACCUUAGGGAUAACAGCGUAAUAUUUUUUUUUAGUUCAAAUAAAAAAAAAAGUUUGCGACCUCGAUGUUGGAUUAAGAUAAAAUUUAAAUGCAAAAGUUUAAAAAUUUUGAUCUGUUCGAUCAUUAAAAUCUUACA